rnacentral:rRNA from 1 species
GAUGAACGCUGGCGGCGUGCCUAAUACAUGCAAGUCGAGCGAACAGACGAGGAGCUUGCUCCUCUGACGUUAGCGGCGGACGGGUGAGUAACACGCGGAUAACCUACCUAUAAGACUGGGAUAACUUCGGGAAACCGGAGCUAAUACCGGAUAAUAUAUUGAACCGCAUGGUUCAAUAGUGAAAGCCGGUUUUGCUGUCACUUAUAGAUGGAUCCGCGCCGCAUUAGCUAGUUGGUAAGGUAACGGCUUACCAAGGCAACGAUGCGUAGCCGACCUGAGAGGGUGAUCGGCCACACUGGAACUGAGACACGGUCCAGACUCCUACGGGAGGCAGCAGUAGGGAAUCUUCCGCAAUGGGCGAAAGCCUGACGGAGCAACGCCGCGUGAGUGAUGAAGGUCUUCGGAUCGUAAAACUCUGUUAUUAGGGAAGAACAAAUGUGUAAGUAACUAUGCACGUCUUGACGGUACCUAAUCAGAAAGCCACGGCUAACUACGUG